UCAAAACUCUCUAUGUUUUGGUUUUCUAAAAAGGAUGAUUUGAACUGAAGAAAGGCAGCUACUUUUAUAGCCAAUGUUCCUGACAAAUUGGUGGCCUUGAAUGCGAGAGAGUUUUUCUCAUUUUCUCUUCCGUUCGUUUUCUUCAAAUUUUCCCGUCCUUUCUUUUAUUUUAUUUUAAUAUUUAUUUUCCUUCUUUUUCUCUCCUCCACUAACGAGGGAAACCCAUCAAUCUCCCCCUCCCGACUUAGGUGGAGGGCUCCAGCAGUCCAGCUGCUCUUCU
rnacentral:lncRNA from 1 species